CGGCGCAAAUGUCAAACGUUUAAUAAACAUGAGUAUUUUAUUACACAGUGACAUAACAACAGCCCCAAUUGAACUUUUCUUAACAGGAAACAAAUGAUAAACGUGAUUAGACUGCUUAAACAAUAAAUCACAUUUCUUGUCCAUUCAACUGUAAAGCACAUGUUGAGGCUAAAUUCGUAAAACUGCUAUUAAUGUUUAUGUAUAAAGAGGGAAC
rnacentral:lncRNA from 1 species